UGGGGGCCUUGUCCUAGUUUUAGACAAGAUAUUGGUUCCUAUGUAUUAGAGAUUUCACAGACUGUUGUUAGAUAUUGUUAGAAGUUAUGAAUUCCAUUUUGGAUUGAUCCUUUGAAAUUAUUAUUUGACCAUGAUUCUGUAUCAAUAUUUAUUUAUGCAUUGUCUUUUAUAAUACGUGAACAUAUGUAUAAUGUCCAAAAACUAAAGUGUGCUCG
rnacentral:lncRNA from 1 species